AGUCGCCAGAAAGAAAAGAAAAACUCGUGGAAUCUUUCCCAGUCUCACUCUCGUGCUUCUCUUCUCUCCACUUCGAGGCGACAAAGGCGGCGGCGGGGACGGAGUGGACGGCGGCGGCGAGUCUCCGGUGGAAAGCUCCCAGCGUAGGCUACUCUCCGGAGUGAAGCUUCCAGCAUCGACGAUCUGCCACGUAGCCCGGCCGAAACCCUAGCUCCCCGCUUCGUGCCAUCUCCCCCGCCGCCUCACUCCGGAGAAGAGGAAGCCGCCGGCGACAAGAUCACCAGCUCGAACCACCGUUCUGAUGAACGGCAGCAGCAAACUUCAAAUCUGCAUAUGCCCGAAGUAUGGAAAUGUCUUCUGUUGCGCGGAUUCAACCGACCCCUGCUUUCCGUCCAAAAUGGAGUGCGUUAAAGGCUGCGGAUGCGGUGCGGACGCGCAAUCCACUCCUCAUGCCCUGCCAUGACCUUCUGGCUUGGUUCUGAUGGUGUUUGAUGCUACCGUGAGGAAGAAAUAACUAUGUAAUCGAAGUUCUGAAUAAAGAACCAUGAGGCAGAGUCAUAUGCUAUGUUUUGUGAUUUAUGUCUGGUGAUGGCGUGGACCUCCUGUAUGAAAGAUUAUAUUAUUUGCCCAGCAAUGUGUUUUGGGAUGCUAGAAUUUGAUGAGCUGACAAAGGCUGAGCCAAGGGACAAUUCACUAUUGUGGAUCUGCAACCUCGUAUGUCUUCCGUCUAUUUUCAGAGAAGUGAUUCAGUUGAACUGAAUAGAGAAUGUAAUAGCUAUAUA